GAGGACUAAAUAACUCAGGUAUUACAGCAGCUGCAACGACGGAAUUAACUGUUUCGAGUACAAAAGCUUUGCUUUUUUUUUGUCUUCGAGUGAGUUUUAAAAAGAAGAGAGUGUUUGUUUGUAGUUUAAAAAGUGCUCCUGUUUUUUCUUAGAAUUGCACUCUGCAUUUUCAAAAAUGACGUCAGCUGAGGAGCGAGCUCCGAUUGGUUGGCUCGGCUCGGGAUACCCGCUCAAACGCCGGCGAUUGGUUUAAAAGCAUGCUAUAGAGAAGGUCGGCCAUUUAUGAACAGAUGGAUUUAUGUUUUCUCUCCCAAUGAUUGGGGUCAUCUGGAGGCGACAGCUCGCUGAUCCAAGAUCCGCACUGGUGUUCAACUGUCUUGCUGGUGUGAGAAAGCGAAGGGAGACCUGGGAAAGAUGCCAAUGGCUGGAGAGAAAAAAAAAAGUGACAUUCUCUGAAUUAUCCACCGUCCUCGCUCAUUGAUUCAUUUAGCUGAACUCUCUCAAAUCCCUCCCACCGAGGAGGGCAGAUAUUAUCCCCGAUGGAAGGAGAGGACGAAUUUGCGCAAGGAUGGUGGGGGGACGCGGGGAAAAGCGGGCAGAAUAAAGAUGUCGAAAAAUACUCCUCUUUGAGGCGAGAGAACUUGACAACAAAUCGGUUUAGAGUUCGAAUCGCAACCCGGUAUUCAUUGUAGAAAUACGGUGAGAUGGAACAGUAUGGCAGAAGUGCUUGUCUCUCUCGCCGUCUGUCUGCUGCUGCAGGAUAGAAUAAGUACAGUACGAAGGGCUGUGUGAGAGCAGACGUCCCUCUGUCACCCUGUGUACGGACAGACGCACUCACGCCAGUAGGAGGGGAUUGUGGGAAGGGGGUGUAGCUCUCAGAGGGUGUGCUCUACUCCUCUCUUUUCCCUUCUUCCCGCCAUCACGGCCCUCUUCUCCUCCAGUCCUCCGGCCCAGCCCGCCGCUCACGUACAGGCUCCAGGACAGCAGGCUCUGACAGGGUGGUAAACAGUCUUUCUGUGGCUUUCCAUACCGAACAGGUGUCUCUUUGUAGACUGGCAGGAGGAAGGACAGGCCUCUUCGGUUACUUUCUGACCUCAGAAGGGUCGACCGAGCCAGAGAGCCGUUGUUGUGUUCAGGACAGUUACCUUUGUGGAUCUUUGAAGCGGAAGCAACAUGGAUGCUGUCCUUGGGGCUGAGGUAGUAGAUUGAAUAGUUGUGGGGUUGUGUAACCUCUUUUUGAGAUAACUAUACAAUCUACUGUCUUUCCCAAGGAGACAGCCAGGUCAGCCACUCGCCGACUGUCACCUCCAGAUGGGCGAACAUGCCGUCCAAUCAAAACGCACGCUUGCAAGCAGCAAUCAACACAAUGCACUAUGUCGAGCAUUGUUUUUUUGUUUGUUGCUAGAGCAGGUUAAUUAGGUCUACCAGGACGUGAAGGUGUGGUGUGUCUGAUUUGGGUUCUGUCAGGGUGAGGUAGUAGGUUGUAUAGUUUGGUGGACGGGAUUGCACCCUGCUCAGGUGAUAACUAUACAGUCUAUUGCCUUCCUUGAGGAGCUCACUGAACACUCAUCAAUGCUCAACACACUCUCAUGAUGGUAUCACGUUUAUUUGUAGAUUUCAGAAAGAAAGGAGCGAGUAGAUAUGUGCUGCAAAAAGGAAAGGGAUGAAUUGACUGAAAUGACAAAAAAUAUGUACAUCUCAAUAAAGUCAUAUGUGCCUCAAAAACUCA